UUCUCUAGUACACAUAAAUAAAUAAAUAAAAAUGUUUCCCAUAAAAAAAAAAAAAAAUAGAAACCCUAGAAUUAGAAUUUAGAAUCACUCUAUUUCCCAGAUCGGUGAUUUAAAAAAACUUCACUUCCCUCCAUCCAUCCCUUUCUCUACUGCAAUAAAAAAUCGUAUAGUAAAAAUAAUACGAGUAAAUUGAUGGCGGAAGAAGAAUACAUAAAUGAUGGUACAAGGAAAGGAGAUGAUGAAGAUGGAAGUGAGGAGGGAAGUGAUUAUUCGUCAGAAGAUGAAGGAACAGAGGAAUACCGGCGUGGUGGAUAUCACGCUGUUAAAGUUGGCGAUACGUUUAAAAAUUCAAGAUAUGUUGUCCAAAGUAAACUUGGCUGGGGUCAUUUUUCUACUGUCUGGCUUGCCUGGGACACACAUAAUUCUAGGUAUGUGGCUCUAAAAGUCCAAAAGAGUGCUCAACAUUAUACCGAGGCGGCAAUGGACGAAAUCACUAUAUUGAAACAGAUAGCAGAGGGAGACCCUGAUAACAAGAAGUGUGUUGUAAAGCUCUUAGAUCAUUUCAAACACUCUGGACCAAAUGGCCAGCAUGUUUGUAUGGUUUUCGAGUAUCUGGGUGAUAAUCUUUUGACACUAAUAAAGUAUUCAGACUAUCGUGGGAUUCCUUUGCCUAAAGUUAAAGAAAUUUGCUACCAUGUUUUAGGGGGUUUGGAUUACUUGCAUCGUCAACUCUCUAUUAUUCACACUGAUCUUAAACCAGAAAACAUUUUACUUUUAUCUACGAUUGACCCUGAAAAUGAUCCAAGAAAAACAGGUGCGCCUCUCGUUCUCCCGUCUAGUAAAGAUAAAGUCUUGGCGGAUUCUGGUGCUUGUAAAGUUAUUAAAAGUUCAAGUGUCGAUCUUACCAAAAAUCAAAAAAAGAAAAUUAGAAAAAAGGCUAAGAAAGCAGCUCGAAAGGAAGAAAUUGAGGAGGCUGAUGAGAUUUCCAAUAGAGACUCCAAUGAAGAACAAGCCACAUCAUUGGUUAACUCUUCUGAAGCACGGGAUUCUCGCCAACAAAGUCAAGUUAGUAAGAGAGGAAGCCGGUCAACACGACAGAGGCUAUUGGCAGAGGUUGAUGUUAAAUGCAAAUUGGUUGAUUUUGGUAAUGCGUGUUGGACUUAUAAGCAAUUUACAAGUGAUAUCCAAACUAGACAAUACAGAUGUCCGGAAGUGCUAUUAGGAUCCAAGUACUCAACAUCUGCUGAUUUAUGGUCAUUUGCAUGUAUAUGCUUCGAGCUUGCCACCGGUGAUGUUCUCUUUGACCCUCAUAGUGGUGACAACUAUGACAGGGAUGAGGAUCACUUGGCCCUAAUGAUGGAACUUCUUGGAAUGAUGCCUCGAAAGAUAGCUUUAGGUGGACGUUACUCUCGGGAAUUCUUCAAUCGACAUGGUGAUCUGAGACAUAUACGGCGGUUGCGCUUUUGGCCAAUGCACAAGGUGCUCAUGGAAAAAUAUGAGUUCAGUGAACAAGAUGCUAAGGAGUUCGCUGAUUUUCUUGUUUCUAUUCUUGAAUUUGUCCCUGAAAAGAGGCCUACUGCUGCUCAAUGCCUCAAUCACCCAUGGAUUGCUGCGAGAGCGCCUCGUGAUCUUGGUUCUGUUGUGCCUCAUACUACAGAUGAUAGAAGUCUGGAAAAUAACAGAGCAGCUGCUGUUGCACCCCGUGUAGCUGAUAACAAGAUUUUGGAAAAUAACAGGGAGAAAGAUGAGAGGGAAGAGAUGGAAAUUGGAAUGGGAAAUUUAACAAUUGGAGAAGUUUCAAAACCAGUAUUGGGAUAGGCCUGCCAGAUAGGAGAUUGGUUUUUGCAACUGCUAGCAUUUUGGAAAUACCAAAACAAACUUUUGUGAAAUUUAGCCUCUUGCAUCCUUUAAGCUACAUGGCCGGAACUCAUUGCUUGAUGAAGGGACGGUUUACGCACAAACCAAAUUUAUUAGAGAAUCAAUGUAUAUUAUUUAGAAGGGUUACAUGAUUUUUCUCCACUUAAUUGCUUGAAGACAAGACACCGAUCAAAUUGUGGUAUACUAUUGAUUUUCAUGCACAUUGCGAACAUGUCCUGGCUCUGAGCAUUCUCUUUGAUGUGUCUAGAUAGUAGAUAGUAAAAAAGAAUUUGUACAAUUUGGAUUAUUGUUUGGGAGAAUGACUUUUCCAGGAUGGACAUUACUUCUAUUGCUUGUAAUGUAGUGACACAAGUUGUACAUUUCACUAAUGGUUUCUACCUGGUCUUUUAGCUA